rnacentral:rRNA from 1 species
CACGUAGGGCGCAAGCGUUGUCCGGAAUUAUUGGGCGUAAAGAGCUCGUAGGCGGUCUGUUGCGUCCGCUGUGAAAACUCGGGGCUUAACCCCGAGCCUGCAGUGGAUACGGGCAGACUAGAGGUAGGUAGGGGAGAAUGGAAUUCCCGGUGUAGCGGUGAAAUGCGCAGAUAUCAGGAGGAACACCAAUGGCGAAGGCAGCUCACUGGGACGGUACUGACGCUGAGACGCGAAAGCGUGGGGAGCGAACAGG